CAAGACCUUGCGCUUUUGGAGCGGCCGAUGUCUGAUUAGCUAGUUGGUGAGGUAAAGGCUUACCAAGGCMUCGAUCAGUAGCUGGUCUGAGAGGACGACCAGCCACACUGGGACUGAGACACGGCCCAGACUCCUACGGGAGGCAGCAGUGGGGAAUUUUGGACAAUGGGGGAAACCCUGAUCCAGCCAUGCCGCGUGAGUGAAGAAGGCCAACGGGUUGUAAAGCUCUUUCAGCCGGAACGAAACGGUCACGGUUAAUACCCGUGAUCACUGACGGUACCGGAAGAAGAAG
rnacentral:rRNA from 1 species